rnacentral:ncRNA from 1 species
GGGAAUCCGGUGCGAAUCCGGAACUGUCCCGCAACGGUGUACCCCAGCGUGUUCGCGCACGUAUGGGGCGUCAGUCCGAGGACC